rnacentral:rRNA from 1 species
AACAUAGCGGAGGAAAAGAAACCAACAGGGAUUGCCCCAGUAACGGCGAGUGAAGCGGCAGCAGCUCAAAUUUGAAAUCUGGGGUCCCCGACCUCCGAGUUGUAAUUUGGAGAGGCAUCUUCGGGGGGGAGCGCCGGCCCAUGUUCCUUGGGACAGGACGUCACAGAGGGUGAGAAUCCCGUGCCUGGCCGGCUGCCUCCUCCCGGGUGAAGGACCUUCGACGAGUCGAGUUGUUUGGGAAUGCAGCUCCAAGUGGGUGGUAAAUUUCAUCUAAAGCUAAAUACCGGCGGGAGACCGAUAGCGCACAAGUAGAGUGAUCGAAAGAUGAAAAGCACUUUGAAAAUAGAGUCAAAAAGUACGUGAAAUUGUUGAAAGGGAAGCGCUUGAGACCAGACUCGGGCCCGGGCAAACAUCGCGCCCCUCGGGGCCGUGCAAUUGCCUGGGCCUGGGCCAGCAUCAGUUGGCGUGGCGGGACAAAGGCGCGGGGAAUGUGGCUCCCCUCGGGGAGUGUUAUUAGGCCCGCGCUCAAUGCCGCCGACGUCGACUGAGGACCGCGCCUCGGCUAGGAUGCUGGCUUAAUGGCCUUCAGCGACCCGUCUUGAAACACGGACCAAGGAGUCUAACAUCUAUGCGAGUGUUUGGGCGACAAACCCUUGCGCGGAAUGAAAGUGAGCGGAGGUGGGAACCCCCCCGCGGGGCGCACCAUCGACCGAUCCUGAUGUCUUCGGAUGGAUUUGAGUAGGAGCAUAGCUGUUGGGACCCGAAAGAUGGUGAACUAUGCCUGAAUAGGGUGAAGCCAGAGGAAACUCUGGUGGAGGCUCGCAGCGGUUCUGACGUGCAAAUCGAUCGUCAAAUUUGGGUAUAGGGGCGAAAGACUAAUCGAACCAGUCU